CUUAUUCUACAUUGUACUUUUUCUGUGAGACAUGACAACAGUUUUAAAUAAUGUCUUUUUGGAGUCCCUAGUUCAGAGCCAAAAUUGGUUCAUAUGCUAUGGUAAUGAGUUCUCAUUUGUUGGAACAGGCAAAUCCUAUUCAUAGUUGGGGUGCCCAAAAAGUAGAUUCCCAGAUGUAGAACUACAACUCCCUUGAUGCUUUGCAGGCUUUUAGUAUGACAAGGCAUCAUGGAAGCUGUAGUUUUUUUUUAGAACAUCUGGGGAUCUACCUUUUUGGCUAUCCC